rnacentral:rRNA from 1 species
GACGAACGCUGGCGGCGUGCUUAACACAUGCAAGUCGAACGAAGUGGCGAACGGGUGAGUAACGCGUAAUAAACCUGCCCUUCAGAGGGGGACAACAGUUGGAAACGACUGCUAAUACCGCAUACUGAAGGAGGGGAUUGCGUCUGAUUAGCUAGUUGGAGGGGUAACGGCCGACCAAGGCGAUGAUCAGUAGCCGGGCUGAGGGGAUGAACGGGCACAUUGGGACUGAGACACGGCCCAGAAUCCUACGGGAGGCAGCAGGUGGGAAACUUCCGAAAUGGACGAAAGGCUGAAGGAGCAAAGCCGGGUGAGUGAUGACGGCCUUCCGGUUUUAAAGCUCUGUUAAUCGGGACGCGGUACCGGAAUAGAAAGCCACGGCUAACUACGUGCCAGCAGCCGCGGUAAUAC